AGGUCAAGCUACAAAGGGCGCAUGGUGAAUGCCUUGGCAUCAGGAGCCGAUGAAGGACGUGAUAAGCUGCGAUAAGCUUCGGGUAGGCGCACAUAGCCUGAGAUCCGAAGAUUUCCGAAUGAGGAAACUCACAUGGGAAACCCCAUGUAUCAUUAAGUGAAUACAUAGCUUAAUGAAGGUAACCCAGGGAACUGAAACAUCUAAGUACCUGGAGGAAGAGAAAGAAAAAUCGAUUUUCUUAGUAGCGGCGAGCGAAAAGGAAAGAGCCCAAACCGGAAACUUGUUUCCGGGGUUGUGGACAUAACAUAAAAGUGGAGGCUAUUGUAACUGAAGAGAACUGGAAAGUUCCACCGUAGAAGGUAAUAGUCCUGUAAGUGAAACGAGAAGACCACGAGUUAUGAUCCAGAGUACCACGAGACACGUGAAACCUUGUGGGAAGCAGGGAGGACCACCUCCCAAGGCUAAAUACUACCUGAUGACCGAUAGUGAAGCAGUACCGUGAGGGAAAGGUGAAAAGAACCCCGGGAGGGGAGUGAAAUAGAAC
rnacentral:rRNA from 1 species